AUUGAACGCUGGCGGCAUGCUUUACACAUGCAAGUCGAACGGUAACAGGUUAAGCUGACGAGUGGCGAACGGGUGAGUAAUGCAUCGGAACGUGCCCGGUCGUGGGGGAUAACACUUCGAAAGAAGUGCUAAUACCGCAUACGAUCUGAGGAUGAAAGCGGGGGACCGUAAGGCCUCGCGCGAUCGGAGCGGCCGAUGUCAGAGUAGGUAGGUGGUGGGGUAAAGGCCUACCAAGCCGACGAUCUGUAGCUGGUAUGAGAGGACGACCAGCCACACGGGGACUGAGACACGGCCCAGACUCCUACGGGAGGCAGCAGUGGGGAAUUUUGGACAAUGGGCGCAAGCCUUAUCCAGCAAUGCCGCGUGCAGGAAGAAGGCCUUCGGGUUGUAAACUGCUUUUGUACGGAGCGAAAAGGCUCUCUCUAAUACAGGGGGCUGAUGACGGUACCGUAAGAAUAAGCACCGGCUAACUACGUGCCAGCAGCCGCGGUAA
rnacentral:rRNA from 1 species